rnacentral:lncRNA from 10 species
UACCAUUGAAGAACCAGGUUGUUAUUGGUUUUUACUUAAAUAAAAUUCCUGAUUUAAAAAAAGGUGGGGGGCAAUAUGGUAGACUAGAUAAUCUGAAAAAUGUUUCAACCAUAUCCUGCAAAAAUGAAACAGAUUAUUUUUAAAUGCAUAUUUGAGUUUGCAGGAAAGUUAAAGGAAAUCUUCGGUGGUCGAAAAUGAACUGUGAAAAAGUCUUAAACUAUUGAUUGGAGACCUUGACCAGGCAGCAAGGAAAAUACACACACAUAAAGCUUUUCCACUGUCAGUCAGUCCUGGGACACAUGAAUGGUGGGGGCACUUCUAGCUACUCUGUUCUUCUGGAAUGCUUAUGGCUUCCAAAAACCAUCGUCAAAUUCUCUGAAAUGAGUUUCAAUGAGUGUCAGCAAGGUAUUGCUUUUAAAAGCCUUUGGGAAAUUUCUUACCCAUUUCCUUCUUGGACUACCUUAAAGAACACCUUCUAGAUAAUGUGGACCUGAGGGCUUGACAUCCAGAAGAAAAAGAACCAGUGCAUGGAAAAUGUGAUGUCCUAGAACUACGUGUCAAAAUUUUCAGGGAAGAUGUGCUCAGAAAUGUGGGCCAUGUAAUGGCUUUGUGAUUAUUAAAUGUAUGAUGGACACAAUAUUGCUGAUUGUAUAGUGCACACAACAUCUCUAGAUGUAUGGUGGAUGCAACAUAACUGUAUGAUGGAUACAACCUCUCUAAGCCUGUGGUGGAUACAGAAUCUCUAAGCUUGUGGUGGAUGUAACCUCUCUAAGCAUGUGGUGGAUACAAUGUCACUACAUCAAGUCCCAUUACCCUUGUGCUCAUCUCUGCCAGUACUCAGGAGUGAAAAAUGCAGAUGGAGAUGCUCAGGAUGCAAAGAGUGGAGAACAAUGUGGUGGGUAAUAGGGCCAAGGAACCCUGUUCCCCAAAUCAAAAGAAUAACCCUUGGGGCUGGGCAUGGUGGCUCAUGCCUGUAAUCCCAGCACUUUGGGAGGCCAAGGUGGGUAGAUCACCUGAGGUCAGGAGUUCAAGACCAGCCUAGCCAACAUGGUGAAACCCCAACUCUACUAAAAGCACAAAAAAUUAGCCAGGCGUGGUGGCAGGCACUGUAAUCCCAGCUACUUGGGAGGCUGAAGCAAGAGAAUAGCUUGAACCUCGGAGGCAGAGAUUGCAGUGAGCCGAGAUCGUGCCAUUGCACUCCAGCCUGGGCAAUAAGAGCGAAACUCCAUCUCAAAAAACAAAACAAAACAAAACAAAAGAAUAACCCUUAAUAGGAUAGGCUAGAAACACUGACGCUGGAUGAUAGUAGAAAUUAUGAAAGAAACAAUUUAAAAAGCUAAAGUAAACCACAGUGCUGGAAAUAACACAUCAAAGGCCUAGCCAGGAUUUCACCCAAAUCUAUUCUGACCAAAAGCCCACAUGCUUUUUAAUGCAACCACACUCAAAAUAGUGGUGGUGGUGGGGGAGGUUGAUUGAAUAUGAUACUGGGAUGGAUGAAUAACAACAGGAAUAAUAGCAUCUUAGGCCAUACACAAAAAUAAACUCAAAAUCAGAAGUUGAAUAUCAAAUGUUAGAAAAGCUAGCAUAAAUUAGAAUUAGGUAUCAGAUACUUGAAACAACUUUCUAAAAUUUGGAACAGUUGAAAUAAAAGAAGAAACAGAUUGACAAAUUAAAAUGUACAUGCAAAAAAUAAACAUCAAGACAACACUUAUAAACAGGCAAUGAACAAGAACAGAUUUUAACAAGAAAAUAAAUCAUAAACAAACACUUUGGAAGGC